CAGGCUCCGGCCUGGUUACGCUUCCUUAGCAACGAGUUGCCUUUGGCAACAGGAGGACGCGGAGCCCUCGGCUGGGUUUCCCGCGCCUUCCUACACCUGCUUACUGUAGAAGGCGCAGGCCGAACCAUGUCGGAGAUUCUGUGCCAGUGGCUCAACCAGGAGGUGAAGGUGUCCCAGACCGUGAGUCCCAAGUCAUUUGCAAAGUCAUUUUCCAGCGGUUAUCUAAUUGGAGAAAUUCUGCACAAGUUUGAACUUCAGGGUGAUUUUUCAGAAUUUUCAGAAAGCAGAGUUUCAAAUGCCAAACUUAAUAAUUUUUCUCGCCUGGAGCCAACACUUCACCUUCUGGGUGUGCAGUUUGAUCAGAAUGUGGCCCACAACAUCAUCACGGAAAAGCCUGGGGCAGCAACAAAACUUUUGUAUCAGUUGUACAUUGUUCUUCAGAAAAAGAAGAAAAGUGGACUGACGAGAGUGGAAAUACAAUCCAUGCAACCCCCGGCAAACAUCAGACAGCAAAGCAUGAAAAGUGAGGCUUUCCGAGACCAACGCUUGAGCAGAAGACGACAAAAUGAAAUAAUGGCCAAAAUCCAAGCAGCUAUCAUACAGAUUCCUAAACCUGCAUCGAAUCGUGCUUUGAGAGCACUUGAGGCCCAAAAAAUGAUGAAAAAGAAAAAAGAGGCAGAGGAUGUGGCUAAUGAGAUUAAGAAGUUUGAAGCCUUAAUAAAAAAGGAUCUCCAGGCCACAGAAAGUGUCUCCAAGACUUCUUUAGAUACAGCCGGCCAGACAACUACUGAUUUGUUAAACACUUAUUCGGAUGAUGACUAUAUUAAAAAAAUCCAAAAGCGCCUUGAGGAAGAUGCUUUUGCACGAGAGCAAAGGGAGAAAAGACGGCGGAGACUGUUAAUGGACCAGUUAAUAGCCCAUGAAGCACAAGAGGAGGCGUUUCGGGAGGAGCAGUUGAUUAAUCGGCUGAUGCGACAGUCCCAGCAGGAACGCAGGAUCGCUGUGCAGCUCAUGCAUGUUCGGCACGAAAAGGAAGUUUUAUGGCAGAACAGAAUUUUCCGAGAAAAACAAUAUGAAGAAAGACGACUUAAAGAUUUCCAGGAUGCUCUUGAUCGAGAAGCGGCUUUGGCCAGACAAGCCAAGAUUGAUUUUGAAGAACAAGCCAUCAGAGAGAAGGAAAUUCAUGAACAGAUUGCUGUGGAAAGAGCUCAAGCUCGUUACAAAAAGCAUUACACUAUAUGUGCAGAAAUUUUGGAUCAAAUACUUGACUUGUCCACUAAGGUGGCAGACUACCGAACAUUGACAAAUAAUAUGAUUCCAUAUAAGUUGAUGCAUGACUGGAAGGAACUGUUUUUUAAUGGAAAGCCCAUAUAUGAGCAAGCCUCCAUUAAGCAUCUACCAGCUAAGCCCUCUGCAGAACAACUUACAGAACUGGAUAAGAGGGACUUGCUCGAUAGCAAUGAUUAUGAAGAAUAUAAGAACAUGGUUGGAGAGUGGGCCUUACCAGAAGAAAUGGUAGAAAAUUUACCACCCCCCAACAAUAACAUCUUGGGUCAUGUGAUUCACCGAUUAAUUGAAAAAUCUCAUCCUCCUCAAGUCAAAUCAACAGUACCAGAAUUACCUUCAUUUGCUAUUAAAUGGUGCUUACUGGGGAAAACAUUUAGUGGAAAAACCAUUGCUCUAAAGGCUCUACAAAAAGACUUUCCUAUUCAGGUACUUUCUGUUGACAUUCUUGUCCAAGAAGCUAUCAAAGCAUUUCAUGACAACGAAAAAAUCAGUGAGGCUCUACCAAUUGAGAAAGAAGCUGAAGAAAAGACUCUACCAGUUCUGCAAGAGAAGAGCAAAGAAAUCCAGGAUCUACAGAAUGUAUCUUCACCUUAUCCAGCUUCAGAGGAAGCAUUGCCAGAAACAGAAGAUAAAACUAUACUUAGUACAGAUACAAAUAAAACUAUAAGAGUUGAAGAAGUCAAAUCAAGUGAUAAUUUCUCUGAACUGACAGUGCGUGCUCGGCUUGGUGCAAAAUCAGAAAAGUUGCUGAAGAAAGGAAAGAGCAUUCCUGACAUGUUGCUAGUUAACAUCUUAGUAAAUGCUAUUAAUGAGAUACCUGUGGCUCAAGGAUGGGUCUUGGAUGGUUUUCCAAUGACAUUAAACCAAGCAAAGCUUUUGGAGGAAGCUCUCACAGGCUGCAGCAGAGAGGUUCUAGAACUGGAGGAAAAGAGAGCACAAAUAUCCACAUUGGCUAUUGAUCCUACAACCUCCAAAGAAGUGCCUCCUCCCCCUUCUGCAUUUGAUUUUGUCAUGUUAUUAGAUAUUUCAGAUAAUUCCUCGCUGGAUCGCAUGAAUGACACAAUGACUGAAGCAUUUUCAAGUGAAACUCAUGAAGACAUCACUCAACGUGUAGCUGCUGAAAACCAAGAUAUGGAUGAGGACCAGAAUUUAAGAGAUCAGAUUCAGCAUAGGAUUAUAGGCUUCUUGGACAACUGGCCUUUAUUGGAGCAAUGGUUUACAGAGCCAGAAAAUAUUUUGAUAAAAAUCAAUGCUGAAGUAGAUAAAGAGUCUUUAUGCCAUAAAGUAAAAGAAAUGUUUAUGACAGAAAUAAUGAAAAAAGAGAAUAAAGUUAAAAAGAAAUUAGAAGAAAAGGAAGCUGAGAAAAAAGAAGAAGUCCCCCUGGCUGAGCCUCGGCCUACUCCUCCCCCACCUCCUCUUGAGCCAGAAAAGGAGAAGGAAACCCCUUCAAAAACUCCUCCAGCAAAAGGGAAACCAUCAUCAGAGUCCUUGCAUGGUAAGCAAGAAUCUCUUCAGGAAGGAAAAGGGAAGAAAGGUGACACUUCACUCAAAAGAAAAGGUUCUCCUAAGGGAAAAUCACCAGGAGGGAAAGGACCGGUAAAGAAAUCACCUGCUGAUUCUACAGAUGUGUCACUUGUUCCCAUAGUGCCACCACCACCUAAGCCAGGAGCCGAAGAAUGGGUCUACGUGAAUGAACCAAUUCCUGAGGAAUUACCUUCCUUUUUAGUACCUUACUGGGAACUAAUAGAAAAUUCCUAUAUAAACUCCAUCAAAACAGUACUCAGGCAUCUGAGAGAAGAACAGCAUUCUGUGAUUUCUUACUUAUACGAAGUUAGAACAAAUUUCCAGCAUUUUCUGCGACGUCCAGAUCACAAACAAGAUUUUGUAUCUCAAUGGCAGGCUGAUUUCAAUACUCUUCCCGAUGACCUGUGGGAUGAUGAGGAAACAAAGUCUGAACUACACCAAAGAGUAAAUGAUUUACGAGACCGCCUGUGGGACAUCUGUGAUGCUCGGAAGGAAGAAGCAGAGCAGGAGCGUCAGGAUGUCAUUAAUGAGAGCUGGUUGCAGGACUCAAUUGGAAUAACGAUGAACCAUUUCUUGUCAUUAAUGCAGGCAGAACUGAACCGUUUCCAAGAUACAAAGAGACUCCUUCAAGAUUAUUACAGGGGAAUGGAAGGCAAAAUCCCAAUCGACGACAUUAAGAGAUUUGCUCGAGUCCCAUUGGUCCAACUGGAUAGUAGAGACAUUUUGGAAAGCCAGCUUAGAAUUCCUCUAAUUUCUCGAAUAUCCAUAUCCCCGGAUUCAGCUACGUCCAAACCAAAAACAAAGGCCAUACUGAAGGGCAAGAUCGAUUACUCACUGGAAACUGUUGAGGCAAACUUUGAGGCAGAUGAGAAGUUACUAAUGGACACCUGGCAGCAGGCUUCUUUAGCAAUAUCUCACAUGGUGGCUGCUGAAAUUCAUCAGAGGCUCAUGGAAGAAGAGAAGGAAAACCUGCCAGCAGACACAAAAGAAAAAUCUCCUCAGAUAGGUACAAAUAAAAAAGUCAAAAAGGAACCACCCAAGAAGAAAGAGGCAGACAAAAAAACAAAAGGCAAAUCACCGCCAAUGGCAGAGGCCGUGCCUGUGACAGUGACGGCAGAGGAGGUUGCCCAAAUGGAAAAGAGAAAAGAACUGAUGCUCAGAAUCAAGGAAGAACACCUUGCUGCCCUGCAAUUUGAAGAGAUAGCCACACAGUUCCGGCUUGAACUGAUAAAGACAAAAGCAUUGGCUUUUCUUGAAGAUUUAUUAACAAAGGUGGUCAAUGUAUAUAAACUCUUGGAAAAGUGGCUUGGUGAGAGGUACUUGAAUGAAAUGGCCAGCGUGGAAAAAUUAACUGAAGUGGCUCGCUAUCACAUUGAAACAUCUACAAAAAUUCAGAAUGAACUUUAUUUAAGCCAAGAAGAUUUCUUCAUUAAUGGUGAUAUGAAAGUCUUUCCAGACCCCCCUCCCCCAGUGCGCCCCCCACCUGUGGAAAAGGAAGAAAAUGGCACCUUGACCAUUGAACAGCUUGAUAGUCUUCGAGAUCAGUUCUUAAAUACCGCACCUAAAGGCAUAAUAGGACAUAAAGCAUUUACUGACAUCCUGCUGGAUCUGGUAACGUUAAACCUCGGAACAAACAACUUACCUAGUAGUUGGAUGCACCUCACUCAACCUGAAUUGCAGGAGUUAACAUCUUUAUUAAUAGUAAACUUGGAGUUUGUGGACUGGCGGAAAUUCCUAUUAGUAAUCUCGAUGCCUUGGAUCAUACCCAUGGAGGAAGAGCUCCUCGAGACCCUGCAGAGGUUCAAGGCCGUGGAUGAAGAGCAGCUGGGCACCAUCACUUUUGAGCAGUAUAUGCAGGCUGGUCUGUGGUUUACAAAAGAUGAAGAUAUAAAAAUUCCAGACAAUCCUCUUGAACCCUUCCCAUUCAAUAGGCAAGAGCAUCUUAUAGAGUUUUUCUUUAGGCUAUUUGCUGACCAUGAGAAGGAUCCACCUCAACUUGACUACACACAGAUGCUGCUUUAUUUUGCUUGUCAUCCAAAUGCCGUGGAAGGUGUCUAUAGGGCCCUCAGUGUAGCCAUCGGGACUCAUGUCUUCCAGCCAAUCGAAACUCUUCCUGUUAUUGCAGAAAAGAUCUCCUCCUUGACUGACAUGAGUCCAGUUGAGGCAUAUCCUGAACUCGAGGGAAACCUUGUGAGUGAGGAAAGGGAACUAAGAGAAGACGGGGAGGGAAAGGAAGAAAUCCCUGAGAAUGCGAACACUGAAAAGAUUUCCAUGGAAAAACUACUCAAAGUGUUCCAAGGAGGAAAAGAAGUACAGGAUGCUAACAGAUUUGCCAGCCACGUACAGAUAGAGAACGCUUACUCAGAGAACUUCAUAAAAGUAUUUCAAGACCUAGGUGCUAAGAAUCUGGAACCAGUUGAAGUUGCUGUUCUCCUGAAGCAUCCUUUUAUUCAAGAUCUGAUUUCAAAUUAUUCAGACUAUAAAAUCCCUCUUUCUCAUCUGUUAAAUGGGAAUAACAGCCAUUCCUAUUCAAAGGAUUGUGGUGAGGAUGAAAUGAGACCGUGCAUAGGAAGCAAGCAGCAUGGUUCCUGACACUUGGCAAAUACUUCAGAAAUGAUGGCUGUUAACAAUUACUCUUCACGACUGAGCAGUUAUCACUGAGGCUAGUAAUAAGCUGAAUCUUCAAAGAUGACCAGGAUUGUUGAAAGUGGAAGGACAGAGAGGACGUGUUCAAGGAUUUGCUGUUGGAAUGGACAGAGGACAGCAACACAGGAAAAAGGAGAGACCUGUGCCGAAGGCAUGAGCACAGGCCUGCGUGGGAGGAAGGGGAGGCCAGGAGGGCUUCUGAGCAGGGGUGUGAUGUGACAUCAUCUUCAUCCCAAAGUGUUUCUUUGUCUCUUCACCAUAUCAUAUCAUUAUGUCCCUACCUUUAAUAGGGCUCCUAAAAAAAAGUUGUGCCUCUUUAUAUAAAUAGGCCAAAAUAGCUGGAAACAUGGUUAGCAUUCCACAAACAUUUACUGUUUGCAUCCAAACUGGUACAUUACAUGUCCCUUUCUGGUUUCUUAUAUCACAUAUUUUCAUUAAAUACGAAAUUAGGAGGAGGAGGUCAUAGGUCAGUGUGACCCUAGAGUUAGUGGGGACAGAGGACGUCAGAACUAGACAAAGGGGUGGAGAGAGGAGGGCGAGGGAGGAUGGCGGAGAGUCGCCAAUUGUGAGGAUCUACCCCCCCCCCUUUGGCUUUCCUCCGGGCCAGCAUCAUUCUGUAUAAGGUAAGUUCCAGAGCUGUAUGUUAGAAUUUAUCUUAUAUUAAUUACCAAGAACCAGUAGGAACAUAAAAUGAUGCCACAAUUAUUUCCUCCCCUAAUGGGAGGAAAACUCCGUACAAAGUCAGGCAAUUUGGGAACGUCUCUGGCCAGACUAAAUAUGAUUAACUUGCAGAGAAGAUUCUCUUCAGCAUUUUCCCGCGAAAAGAAAACAGCCAAUGGAUGACUGCCUCCGAAAGGCAGCCCCUUGAAAAGGUAUUCUGACUCCUAGGGAAAGCUGGAGUCCAUGGGCCUCUUUUUCAUUUAUGCAUUGCCCUCAUUUUGGAAGGAAUUUGAUCAACUUGCCAUACACCUCACUACUGACACUUUGGACAGUGCAUCCCUCUGCGCAGGACUGUCUCCAGCAUGGCAGGAUUCUGGGCCGCCGCCCACUCUACCCCAGGAGCACAGACGGACUACCAACACCAUCUCUGCACAGUCUCCCUGGGGUGCAGCGUCCCUCUGGCUGGAUCCAGCCAGCGCGCGGUGUCUGACCGCCAGGGAGUCAGCCUCCUGGGACCAGCAGAAAGAGAUUUAGCCUGUCUGUCACCAGUCGGUCUGUCCAUUCAUUCCUUCAUUGCCAGAGUGCUUCGGCAGUGUCGGCUGCUUCAGCUGCCUCCCUCCUCACCCGCACCUCUCCUCCCAGGUCCUCCCCUUCAAAUCCAUGAGAGGACGGAGGACUACCUAAGUGGGACUCAUUCGUAUGACUGGGAAUCUCUGAGAGUUGAGACUGUAACCUAAAAACCUAAGCCCUGGUAUUCUAAUGAAAGAGCUUCCCUUUCUAGUAAGAAGGUCUACUCUCAUUUUCACAAAGCAGAAAAAAGAAAAAAAAGAAAAGAAAAGAAAAGAAAAGAAAAAAGAAAAAAGAAAAGAAAGAAAGAAAGAAAGAAAGAAAGAAAGAAAGAAAGAAAGAAAGAAAGAAAGAAAGAAAGAAAAGAAAGAAAGAAAGAAAAGAAAAAAGAAAGAUAAAAAUAAAGGAAAGGAAAAAAAAUCUCUGAAGAUUCAGUUUCUGUCAAAGCCAUCCUGUCACCAUUUCUGCUCCAGAUAUCCAUGUGCAAGUAAAUAGAUCACAUUUUAAAAUGAACUUUAACCACAGUGAUGUUAUUUGAAGAUCUUUCAAGAUAAGUAGAGCAAAAGCUAGAAUGUGGUUUUUCAGGUUAAAAUGUUGUUUGCUGUUAUAAACAGUGGGAAGUGAAGGUUGUUUGCCUGAUAGCUCUGUGUUUACAAGGUUUGUGUUUGGAAGCAGCGACAUUUUAAAAUAUAUAUUUGAAAAAUCUGAGUAUUUGUAAUUAUUUUGGUAUGUUUUAUUUUUGCUCCUAUUGGGAGGCGGCCUGGCUUUGUGGUUGAGAGAGUGGGCCCAGGAGCCACACUGAUUGGGUUCACACCUACAAAACUGUGUGACCUUGGGCAAGUGACCUCAUGGUGCCUUGGUUUCCCCAUCUGUAAAAUAGGGUUACCAUACCCUCAUAGGGCUCUUGUAUGGAUUAGAUGACUUAGUACAUAUAAAGUGCUUAGCUCAGUGCUUGGCAGGUAGAAAGCACCCGAUAAUAAAUGUUAGACAUUAUGGAUUAUUAUUACUCUUAUUACUAUUACUGGUUUGCUGGUAGUUGUAGUGCCCAGGAAAUAUUUCUGAGCCAUGUGAAAUUAUAUGUGGAUAAAUAAAUAAGCUAGGGCAUUUCAUCUCCUGAAUUCAGUGUCUGCUCUUUGAAAAGAAAGAAAAAGGCUUUCAUUGUUGCAGUGCCAUGAUGACAAAGAGUCCAAACUGGUGUCCCAGAAAUCCCCAUGUGGCCACUACCUAUGGGGAAAAUCCAGAUUUUGUGUUGGAUUUGAUAGUCAUUCAAUCAAAGUCAUUUAUUUAAUUUCUACUUUCAUAGAUCUUACACAAAGAGGUCAUUUCAAGUAAUGUUCCUAAAUUAUUAAGAAAAUGCUUUGGUUAAAGAAAUGUAACAAAAUCAAUGAGGAUACUGUAACUGGGUUGUUAGUGAGCAAAAUCAAUUUCCCAUGACCAAUAUAUUUAAAAUGUAAGUGAACACACGAUUUCCCAUACCAACCUAAUAAGUGUAGUCUCUUCUAAUGAACACAUGCUGACUAAAUGUAGAUUAUUUUUAGCAAACCUGUAAAUCAAGCAUAUAUCCUUGAAAUUGAGGUUUCCAUUCAAUAGGAGAUAAUAAUAAAUCUUUUAGUAUUAAAAUCCAAAUACCACAGGAGAAUUUCUUAUAAGUACGUGAGUUAGGACCCAAUUAAUUA